CCCCAACCUAACAUGAAUAAGCAGACUGCUCAAAAGAAUCUGAUUCCCAUAUCUGUGAAAAUAAGAAUUUUGAAUAUUUGGUAUGUUACAAUCUACAAUUCCAAAUUGGCAAAAAGGGAUGCUUUGAGUUCGGAUUGCCUCACAAAAACAAUAUAAACUAUAAUAUAGGUGGUAACAUUUACUGAUUUUUGGAGAAAACAGGACAUUUUAAUAGCUAGAGUAGCGGACUCAUGCCUGAAAGAAACAUUUUCUGAAAGAGGGUGGAUGCACAGUGACCCGCCCUAUCCUACCAAGUACUACUUUUACUUAUGAUAUGGAGGAAUAGAAAUAUAUAACUAUUGCUAUUAAACAUUGAGGAGACAUAAGACCAGAUUUUUGUAAGUUUCCUACCUACGUGGAGACAAUCCAAGUCAAAAUUUUGGUUUGAUCCGAAAAGUUUUUCUAUAAUAAAAUCAAGAAUAAGUACAAGAAACAUUUAUAGGAUUCUAUACGUUAUACUUACAAUUUAAUUCUUAGCAAUACAAACAAUUGUAGAAAAAUACUUAUUUUUUACUGCAAUGCAGAAAAUGAAAGCUCUGACGACCUAAAUUAUCGUGACAGCUGCAAAACCAACGGUAAUAAUUACAGUAACAAUAAUGUACCAACACUGAUAUAUCUAAGGCUUAAUGAAGAUGUAUAUUCGAGGGCAACAAUCAUUAUUGUUGGCAAAGAAAUUCCCUCCAAACCAGUUUUUUGUAAUAACGUUAAUUACCUACUUAUUUUGUUAGUAAACUUAAUCUUGCCAUAUUUUUAAAAUGAAAUUAAUAUUCUGCUACCAAAGUGACAUUAUUGUGAAAUUGAGACGCUCAAUAUUAUUUUCCUUGUGGACUCUGAUUUACUUCUCACAUUUCUAUCGUAGCAUUAAUAAGCAAUGUUAUCCUAUUGUUUUUUUUGUACAAAUAAAUUGUAUAAGACCAUU